rnacentral:lncRNA from 1 species
CUAGAUCUACAUGAAUAAUAUCUGACAAAGGGACCAUUGUCCAUAACCCCCAACACAAUGGAUCACUUAAUAUCUUCUAAUAAACUUUGCCUAGUAUGUAUGUCCAUACUUGCAUUGCAUCUGAACUCUGAAGGAUUAUAACAACCAGGUUCCUGCAGAUCAAAUAGGAUCAUGUAAGAAUCAAGAAGUUGAAUGAAUCUUACAGAGAAUUAUGUACCUACAUACCUCUUACAAAAGUAAAAAGAUAACAAUAUAUGCAAAAUUCAUAUGGUCAAGAAGUUCCUGUAAGCUAGAUAAAUAAAAAUGGUUCUCUAUGUGACUCAGGAUGCCCAAAGGUUUUUAUUACAUGUUAGAAGCUAAGGCUUAUCUUAGGCUGUGAAGCUCCUAUAAGCAAAAGUAAAUUCAAAUUGGUAACACAGAUGAUUAAUUAAGCGAUGUAAACAGACACACUUUUAGUGUAUCAGCAAGAAAUAUAAUUCCUACUAUAGAGUGUUCACUUAAGUUGAGACUACACACAAUCAUUUUAGUAUAUAUGAACAAUUUCUUUAUUUAGCCAAGAGACUUGUAAUUUGUGCUUUAAUAAUUAGUUAUAACCGAAGAGAUCUCUGUAAACUUAAACAUGGAACGAAAGGGAAAAAAAAUAAACCAAUUAUAAAUGUUUUGGUCUAACAGAUUUUUUUGUGCAAUCUAUGAAGUCAACUUUUGCUGUGGGCGAAUUUUGACGCAAGAAGUCCACUAUCCCAUCAGGUACUGGUGGAGACGGUUCCGAUCCUGAUGCAUAUGCUUUUUUUAUCCUGGUAGCUUCUUUCUUUGACUUCACUGUCUUUAACUUGUACUCGCAUAGUGUCAAGCGAAGUCCAUACAAAAUUUCAUCAAUUUCCACUUUCAUUGACUUCAACUUACCCAAGGAACGGUGUUUAUGCUUUAACAGAUCAGGAAAUAAGCAGAGAACCUAAGUAACGAGGGAUGCAGGAGGAUUAGUAAUGCAAGUCAACGGAUUUUUUAUUAAGUUUUAGAAGAAAAUAAAAAUGUAUCUUAAGACAAAGAAGUAAAAAUAGCCUCAAAACAUGAUAUAUAAGCUCUGCAAGAAUGACACCUUUGAUUCAAGGCAUGUCCGGUGUCAAACACCAACAUAGACACAAGUAUUACAUUCAAUUCAAUUAAUUCAUUUUCUCAAAUUAUCAUCUAUGUCGGUGUCAGUGCUUUAUAGUAUAUAAGUUAAAGUACCUGAAGAGCAGUUGCAGUGACUGUCAAUGAUUUUAUAUCAGCAAACUCUAGGAGCCAGCUGUAUAGAAACAGAGGAGGUGCCUCAGUAUCUGAAUGUAUUUCUGCAUGGAUAUCUACAUGUUUAAGAGAAGAAAUAUUGCUCCCAAUGAUUCUCUGAUAAGGAGUACCAUUAAAAGUAAACGCACAAAGACUUGGAGUGCAUAGCUCAAUCAUGUAAAAGUCUUCCGAGUGAUUGUACAUCGUAAAAUUAACAAGCGUCGCACUUGAUAUACAAAGUUUACCUUUCACGGUACAAUCAGAAAUGAGCAAACUACUCAACCUACUAAAGUUAGAAAAUGGUUCAGCGCAAUUGUUACCACUGACACAAAACGUAAAGUGCCCUAGUUGCAAGCUAGUUAACGCCGGUAAAUCAAGAGAAUCCGGAAACAGAUUUGAAUAACCAGAAAGCAUUAGAUGUGUUAAUGCAGGCAAACUAAGAGAGUUUAGGAACUGAGUUUUAAGAUUUCUAUCCCUUUGCGCAACAGAAAGCUGUAGAUGUGUUAAUGCAGGCAAACUGAAUGAGUUUGGGAACUCUGUUUCACUAUGUCUAUCACGUUGCACAAUAGAAAGCUCAAGAUGUGUUAAAGGCUGAAAUGAAAAUAGGCUAUGAGGAAUUUGCGCAAUGUCACAAUUGACACAAAGUUGUAACCGCUGGACAUUGUGUGAAAUAGCGUAAUUCACAAUCUUUUUAAGUUGAGGCUCAAAGCGGCCAUUAUGACGCUGAAAAUCAAGAGACUGAAGUGAGAUAGAGGAAUCACGAAGAGAUAAAAUCUUAGACACGAAUGUGGUGAAUAUCUUGAAAUUACGAAAGUCUCUAUUAUGCAAUGUAAGAGCAGGAAGACGUUUCCAAAGAUCUUUAUAUAUUGGGGAUAAAACACAAGUUUGAACAGCAUGUUUGGUGUUCAGAAAGGAGAGAAUGUGAAGGAUAACACUUUCGGGCAAGUCACUGAGUCUAUCUUCAUUUUCACACUCGCUGCUGAGCUUAACUUUCUUCGUCAGCUGCGGCGGAAUCGUUAUCUCAUCCGCUGAAUUAGACAUUUGGAUAUAUACCUAGUAAUCAUAAAAGGUUGAAACUGUUAAAUGUGCUUCGAUCUCAUCCCAAAAGCUAGCAACGUAGGUCAAAUAACAAACUACAAACAAUUUUAAAACCAACUUCAACACCCACCCCUCACGGCUAGCUUGGGCCUGAGUCCAAUUCCCAUAUUACAAUAUUGGCUUAAUUGCACUUUUGGACCCCUAUCUUUCUAAAAGUUGCGGUUAUGGCCCCCUAACUAAUUUAAAUACAAAACAGCCCUCUAUGUUUUGAUUCUUUGGCAGUUUUGGACCUCAGUCCAUUAGUGAGGUGCCGCAUGUAUUAUUUAGGGGGCCACAUGGCACCUCACUAAUGAACUGGGGGUCCAAAACUGCCAAAGAAUCAAAACAUAGGGGGCUGUUUUGUAUUUAAAUUAGUUAGGGGCCAUAACCGCAACUUUUGGAAAGAUAGGGGUCCAAAAGUGCAAUUAAGCCUACAAUAUUUAACCUGGCUCUGAAUGGGCUUGAAUCUUAUCCCAAAAGUUAGCUCAAAAGAUGAACUCAAAUGGGAACCUGAGCAAUGUAGGAUAAAUAACAAACUACAAACAACUUUAAAACCAACUUCAACAUUUUCCAAACCUAUUUAACAUGUAUCAAAGCUGUGUUAAGGAUUGCAUUGCAGGAAUUAGACCCAGGCGCACGCUAGGAGUGAGGGUGGAUGUUGAAGUUAGUUUUAAAGUUGUUUGUAGUUUGUUAUUUGUCUUUGCUCAGGUUCCGGAUUGUAGAGUGUAUAAAUAUGAUUGACUGCCCUCAUCAUUUUACCCUCAUCAUUUGAAGUAACUAUUUUGGGAUGAGAUCAAAGCUCAUUCAGAAACAAAACGGCAUUAUUUUGUGCAAUAAAAGUAAUUGAGGAAUUUCUUCAGCUAAAUUUGAACGGAGAAAAAAUGGUAGAAAUAAGAAAUACCUUAGAGUUGUGAUUGAGAUUAUGAAUCUGAGUAGAAGUAAGAGUGGAAUGAAUGAAUGAAUCUAGAACGAUGGGAGUAUACAACGGAGGCGAUGGAUCUCAAUAGUUAACUUCUUCACGUUUUCUAGGGUUUGUUUAUCCUUUAGGCUAUGUUUGGAUUGAUGGGUUGUAGUGGAAUAGAAUGGAAUGAGAUGGUAUAUAAUAAAAUUCCAUUGUUUGGAUUGAUGGGAUGGAAUGGAAUGCAAUGAAACCAAUUCCAUUCUAUACCACUCAAUCCUUCAAUUUCUUAUUCCCCCCAAUUUGGGAGGUAUCCAAUGAAAUGAAAUUUGUGUCUUGAAAUUUUACUAUUCUACCCUCCUUUUAUUUGCCUCUUCCUCUACUCAAUCACAAUUUUCAACACGUUCUUUUCUCUAUUUCUACUGACUGCAUUUCACUUUCAUCUUCUUUGUACUGCUGACUGCUCUUCUUCUUCUCCUGUCUUCUCAUUUCUACGAUUUUGCUUCACAAGGUACCUCAUUUCUACCCCAUUUAUUUUUUCACCGUAUGCUUCUAUGCAUGUUUAGUUAUGUGUAUCAAAUUUUAUUUGUCACGUGAUCUUUUCAUUUUUAUUAUGUGUAUCAUAACAUCAAUCCUUUGUGAGCCAUUUAUUUUGUGAACUAGCGUCAAAAUUUUCAUUUAUUUUAGGUGAUCGUGAUAAAUUUAUACACUUGCUCUGUUUGGGUAUCCUAUGAUUUUGUCAUUUUUGGUAGUGUGGAGUAUCUCUAUGUAGAUAGUUGAUGAAUGUAAAAUAGAGGGUGUGUUCUUUUUAUUUGUUUAUUCUAGUUUCUUAUAUAUGGCAUAUGCAUGUCAUUUGAUUUUUUUUCCUGGAACUGAGAUUAUGUCUAUAUGCUAGUUGUAUAAAGUAACCAUCAUUAGAACAGUGGAGACUUGUGAGAUUUUGUCUAUAUAUGUUUUUUUUUGCUUAGUUAUUUGUGGUACUGGGUUUUUGUCUAUAUAUGAUUCUUUGCUUUGUUAUUUGUGGUACUGAGUUUUUGUCUAUAUGUGAUUUUUUUUUUUUUUUUUUUUGCUUUGUUAUAGAUGACUAAUGAAGACAUGAGAACAAAACAUUUGAAAUUGCUUCAAAUGAUGAUUGUUCAAGUAUCCAUCAUUAUAGUUCUAAUAUUUCGCCUAAAAAACAAGUCUAGAUCUCAAAUACCCUCUAGAAUCAUAGAGCAUAGAGAGAAAGUUAGGAACGAACUAAUGAAACAUAUAAUAGGUAGUGACCGAUGUUAUGAUAUAAUUCGUAUGAGUCCCAAAGCUUUCGUAAACUUGUGCACCUUAUUACGAGAUCACGGUGGGCUUACACAUACACGAAGAGCAUCUAUCGAGGAACAAGUAGCCAAAUUUCUUCACACAGUCGGACAUAACGUCAGAAAUCGUGUGUUGUCCUUCUUCUUUAGACGCUCAGGUGAAACAAUUAGUCGUCAUUUUCAUAGAGUAUUAGAUGCUUUGAUAGAAUUGGAAGACAAAUUUUUGAAACAACCUGAUGGAACACAAGUGCCUCCAGAGAUACGUAACAACAAUAGGUUCUACCCAUAUUUCAAGGUAAGAAUAAGUUUGUCUUACACUUCGAUAAGUUAUGUUAUACACUUUUAAUGGGAUAAUUGAAUGCCAGGAUUGUAUCGGAGCAAUUGACUGUACACAUAUACGUGUCAAAGUUCCAACAGAACUUGCACCUAGAUACCGUGGUAGAAAAGAUUACCCUACACAAAAUGUACUCGCUGCGUGCACAUUUGACUUGAAAUUUACAUAUGUCUUGGUUGGAUGGGAAGGAACAGCAUCAGACUCAAGAAUAGUAAAGAGUGCUUUGACACGUCGGUAUCCUCUUAAAGUCCCGCAAGGUAACGAAAAAAUACAAAAGCUUUUUAUAAGUAUGUAGCUUAUCCAAACUAAUAGACUCAUUAUUUUCUAUAGGAAAAUAUUAUCUUGCUGAUGCGGGGUUUCCUUUAAAGGCAUGUCUCAUCACACCUUAUAGGGGAGAACGUUACCACUUACAAGAAUAUUCUAGAAAUCCACCUCGAAACCCUCGCGAGUUGUUCAACAAUCGACAUUCAUCGUUAAGAAUGUCUAUUGAAUGUGCAUUUGGAGUGUUGAAGAAGAGAUUUCCAAUUCUGCAAACUUCAACUGAACCCACAUUUGGAAUUAAAACUCAAAAUAAAAUCAUUGUUGCUUGUUGCAUCUUACACAAUUAUUUGAUGACUGAAGACCCUAACCAGAAUCUAAUAGACGAGGUGCGUCACGAGCUCACAAAUGAAAGCGGUUUGCAAGAGGGACAUCAAGCUCAAAGAGAAAACAAUGAUGAUACAGCUAGAGGAGAGCUAGUUAGAGCUGAUGUUACUGGUUCAAUGUGGAUAGCUUACUAAAAAAGUGUUUGAAGGCCUCUCUUUCAAAUAUGGAGUGUUCUUAGGCUAUUUAGGCUAGUUUAUUGGUGUUUGUUUUGAUGUUUUGGGCUUAUGUUUUGAAGCUUAACGUGUUGCCAUUUGUUUGAGUAUGAAAACUGACACUUUGUUGAUACUAAUGUGAACUUGGGGAAUCUGUUUGCAAUCUGAAUCUUAAUUUUUAGUGCUUGGAAUCUUCAUAUUUCAACUUGUGCUUGAGUUUGUAAUUUGUGCUUGAAUUAUUAUAUAUGUCGUUUGUUUUUUUUAAUAUUAGAUAUGGAAGAAAGUUCAAAGAGGCCAAGGAAAUGCAAAGGUCCUGAUACUUGUAAUUGGACUUUAGCUAUGGAUGAGGUAUUGAUUGAUGCAUAUUUGCAUCAACAUACUCUGGGAAAUAAAAAUGGUAACAGUCUGACAUCAUUUGCAAUGGAUAGUAUUUUUCAAGAGCUGAAAACUCACUUUCCAGACAAGCCAAUUACUAAAGACAAGAUUAAAGAUCACAUGAAAAAUAUCAAAGCAAAGUUCAAUCCUUGUUAUGAUGUUUUCAAGAAUGGUCUGAGUGGGUUUGCAUGGAAUGCAGAGACAAAUAUGUGGAUUGCUGAAGAUGAAGUCUGGGAAAGUCUAAUUAAGGUAUUAUUUACUUCAACUGAAGUAUUUUUUUUUAUCAAGUGUACAUGAUAAGUUUUUUUUUUUUAUGUAACACUUUGUUUAAUUUACGAAAUUGUAGACAAAACCCGUAGCUGCUGAGUGGAAAAAUAAGCCUAUUAUGUUUUAUGAUAAACUAGCAACUCUUUUUGGGAAAGAUCGAGCAACAGGAGAUGAUGAAGAUACAGGAUUUGAAAUGAGAGCAAAAAAAGCUGCUAGUGCUAAAAAAAAUUACGGUCCAACCAUUGAGGAUAUAGACCAUUUGGUUGAAACCAAUGAAGUUACUUUGGAGGGAUUUGAAGUUGAUGAAGAAUUUGAUCCCAAUGGUUCUCCUAAAAGACCUUCUAUUAGGAAGCCUCAAGAUGUACCAUCAUCUAGGAAUAAGAAACGUGCAAGAAAGGUGGAUGAAGAUGAGACAAGCAUGAGCGAAAUUGCUAAGACUUUUAAGAAAAUGGCUGAGAUGUUUGAACUGAACACUGCAGAGUUGGUCAAACAGAAUAAGAGUUCUAGUGCUGAAGAUGUUUGGGCUAACUUGGUCGAGAUUGGUGUUGAAGAAGCUUCCUUGCCUUGUGUCUACAUGCACCUUGUUCAACAUCCAGAAGCAUUGAAAGCUUUUAAUGGAAUUCCAGUUGAUAAGCGUAAGGAAAUGUUACCUUACAUUGUGCCGAACUAUCCUUGAAGAAGAGUAUUAUGAUCUGCAGUGAACCCAUGCUUUACUUAUUUUGUUAUUAACAGCUAAUGUUGGUUGAAAAGAAACUCUUUUGUUUGUUAGCUUUUUGAGAGGUUUAAAAAGCCAUUUUUGUAGAAGCAAGAAAAGCUUGUUUUGGUGGGAAAAAAAAAAGACAAGCACUGUUAUUUUGUUCUGUUUGGGUUCUAACAUUACUCAUGCAAGUACAUGUUAAUUAUCAACUAUUGCAUUUUGACAGGAUAAUGUUUCUUGUCUAUGAUGUUUUCUUUAUUAGUCUAUGAUGUUUCUUAGUCUAUGAUUUUUCUCGUUACAUUCUCGUUACAUUCAGUCAGUGAUAUUAGCCAUUGUUUGAUACAUAUAUGAAUAAAUAAUCAUAAUAUGGAACUUAUUUUAUAAGGGUAAAAAUGGAAAAAAAUAUUGUAACUUAUUUUAUUCCAUCCAUUAUCUAAACAAUGGAGUGGGAACCUUGUUCUAUUAAAUUGUAAAAUAUCCAAACAAUGGAAUGGAAUCCAUAUUCCAUUCCGUUCCGUUCCGUUCCAUUCCAUUCCAUUCCGCUCAUUUAAAUACCGUUCCGUUCCACUCUCUUCCAUCAAUCCAAACAGAGCCUAUUUUUUAUUUUGAGUAGAAAGGAGAGAAAAGGUUUUAGCGGAGAAAAUUAAAUCCACAAAUCCGAUAUCAAGCCGUAAAAGAUAUCAAAAACUUUAAUAUAGUGUCACUAAAUUUUUGAUAGAUAAAUGAUUUUUUUUUUUUACAAAAAAAAAAAAAAAGAUGUUCAUUUAUUCAAAUUGAUAAACUACAUUACAUCAAAUACAGACAUCGCUAAAGACGUAAAGAUGAAUCUACGAACAAACUCACAUCAUCCAAGUUAAUAGCAUACAACUGCAAAAUGCCUACAAAUAAUAUGAUAAAAUCUAAGUAACUGAAAUUCUUAUGCUUCCAGAUAAUAUGAUAAAAUCUAAGUUACUGAAAUUCUUAUGCUUCCAGAUCUGUAACGUUGACUCCCAAAUCAUUGAUGUAACUUGUAAUUGACCGAUGUCGAUCUUUCAAUAGGAACUAAACAAACAUCGCGACAAGACGCGAAAUCAAAUGCCACACAAGACGACUAAGAACACAACACCGCAAUUAGACGACGAAAUCACAAAAAACACAAAAGAAAAAACUCGAUAUAUUUGAAAAUCACUUAUUUAAAUUGAAAGAAAAGAGGAAAGAAGAUGUAGAGGAAAGAAAAGAGGAAAGGAAGUUUAGAGAGAAGUUGGAGUUUCUCUCACUAAAAAACUAGGGCCGGCUAUUUGGUUUGUUUUUUUUAUCCCGUUGAGUUAAUAGAUAAAUGAUAUUUGUAUAAUCAUUCUCUCUCAUAUUAGUAUUAUGUUUUUAUUCUACUUUUCUUUGUAAAUUUAUCGUGUAUUUCAAAAAUUGUCACGCAAAUGAUUAUUUAAACAAUACACCCUCUUCUCAAUAAUUAUUACCAUUUAGUCUAUCUAUCUAAACAAGUUGAAAGAAAUUAGAUUGUCCACAUCGCUUAACUUUUUUUUUUAAACAACAAAUUUUAUUAAGCAACACCCGCACAAGAUGCACAGAGUAAGCAAAGCAACAACAAUACACAAGGUAUCGUAAAUAUGCGGAACACGGACGCCUCAAUCCAACAAUCCACAAAACAGAAGCCUACCCCCUAAGUUCUUACCCAUAAAAGACAAUCUUUCAGGUCCCAACAUCAUUCAUAAAACAUACGAGAAGGGAUGUUCCACCUCGUUAAGCUCCACCUCCUAGAUAAAAUCUUCAUUUCUUCCACAAUACAAUCCGAUUCACUCACCACAUUUUUGAAGAUUAUACGUUUCUAACUUUCCAUAACAUCCAAAUUGUUGCAUGUCAAAGAAGACGAUAACCUUUACAAACCCUCUCAUUGAAAGUUAGGUCACUCCAACACUGCCAAUGAUAAAAAGAGAUUUGACAGUGUAAUUAAAUUACCUUUGGAGCCACCCCAUAAGAUGAUCCCAAACAUUCCUCCCAAUUCCACAUCACUUAGCUAUUAUUUAUUUUGAGUGCUUUAGUAAAUGUAUUUGUCACACAAACAUUUUAUAAUUUAUUUAGAAUUGUUAUUUAAUAAACAUCUAAUCUAUGCAACAUGAAAGCUCGUUUUUUUUUUAACAAAACAGGUGUCAAAAAUAACUCUUCAUUCUUUAUUUAAACACAAAUAAUUAAGUGGAAUUCGUGAAAAGUGUUUUCUGGAUCAUCAUUCUCACCUAAUAUUUUACUCUACAAGAGAUGUUAUUCCGCUUAUUGCUAAAUAGAAGAAAUACCAACCAUUAUAAAUAUUCCUUAAAAAAAACAUUAUAAACAUAUUGUUAGAGAUCAUUGUCACAACUCAGUAGUUAGUGUUACUCUAAGAUUUUUCAUGUAUCUGAGAAGUCUUCUCAGACAAUAAAGACUUUCUUAACACUUUUUUUAUGAGAAACACUUUUUUCUUAUGACAAAAAACUAGUAUUAAUACUUUUUUUUUUUAGCAAACUAGUAUUAACACUUGAAAAUGAAAUAGUUUUGUUUCAAACAUUUGAGGACAUGUGAAAUGAGUGUUCUUUUGACACUAUAAAUACCAUCAUAAGUUCCUGAAAUACCAAAUCCAUAAUGCCUUAGACCAGAUUAAGCAUGCAAAGUUGAGUGGUGAAAUCACAUUCAAUGUAUACAAAUCAACAUCAAAGCAACACAAAACAAUACAAUACAGUAUAAUACAAGAAUACAAAUUAAAGAGAUUAAAGUAGUUGUUCUUCACAUUAGAUAUUAUCAAAGAUAAUCCUCUCACUGUUUGGUGUUCAAGCAUUGGAAAAAGAAAGAAAGUAAUUUACUAUUAUAUAUCAUUUUGUAAGGUAAACAAAAAUAAAAAAUAAGUGUAACUAAUAUGACAUAUUCAUAUAAACUAUUGAACCGAAACUUACAGUGUAAGAGUGAACAAAAAUAAGGGAUUUUCAUGAAAAACCACUCCCCUCUCCCUCUUCAAAAUUUCCCUUGAAUUAAACAUCAAGAGAAAUUAAUAUCUAUAUAGUUUUGCAAAGAGCAAACUACUUUUAUUUACAUUUAUGAUGAUCAAAUGGGUAACCAUUCUGUCUUUCACUUGCAAAUCAAAUGCAGACACUGGAAGUGCGAGAUUCAAGAGUCGAUACCAUUUGUGCAGGAAAGGGACAGUGAAGAAAAAUGUAACAUGAAAUGCAACUCCAUCCUAGCCUUUGAAUCAAAAUAGGAACGACGGUGUAGUACAAAUAUAAAAAUCAACCAACAAAAACAAUGGCAACUCCAAUGUAUAUCAAAGUCAGGCUGGUAGCCUUUUUCCUGCAUGGCUUGCACGAGAUCUGACGCCUUCUUAAGAUUCUUUUCCAUGUGAUAACUUUUAAUUACAGUGCAAUACAUUUUCUCGUCGGUGUUUCACCUCCGUGGAUCAUGUCCACUAGGAAUUGUUCUGCUUGUUCUGUCCUCCCACGUUCGCAGAAGCUAAACACAAGCAUUUCGACUGUGUCGAUUCUUAGUUUGAAAGUCCAGUUUAGCAUUUCAUAAGAAAAAUUUGAAGCUGUGUCCAACUCAUUUUGUGCACAGAAUCCAUGAAUGAGAAAAUCAUAGCUCGUUGAAAUCGGAAUGUUGGAUUUCUUUAGCAUUAUGUUCAUAAGAUGAACUGCCUUCUUUAAUCUUCCAAACUCACAAAAACGCUUAAUCAAGUAAUUGUAAUCAAUAUUAUCGGGAGUUAGAGAUUCUUCUUUCAUCCUAUCCAAAAAACAUUCCGCAUUUUCCACAAAACCAAGGGAAAGAAGGCUUUCCAUGAUUCUUGUUUGGAUGAGAGAAUCAUGUUUCCAUCCUCUAUAUCCCAUUUCUCGACUCAAUUCCACAGCUUUUUGUAGUUUGCCGACAUCACACAGGCUGCUUAUUACCUUCCUUAAGCUUCGGUCACUUGGUUUGAUUCCUUUUGAAAUCAUGGUAGUAAGAUGAUGCAAAGAACUGGACAAAUCCUUACAUUGCAAGAAACCAUAGACAAGAUAGUUUUGACCAACUUCGUUGAGCACAAUUUUCUUCUCUUCCAUUUCAGUUAGUAUCUUCUUCACAUCCAACCGGUUUCCAAGUAUGGCCAUACAUACUUGGAAACUUUUAUUAGAAGAUUUUAAGUGAUCCAUUAUGUUGGGGGUUAUGGACAAUGGUCCCUUUGUCGGAUAUUAUUCACGUAGCUAUAGAAGCAAUGGUACAAGACAUUUGGGAAAGUUGUAUAAUGAGUGGCAGUUCAGGCCUAACAGUGUUUAGUAUUCAAUAUUGAUGCUGGUUGAAUACUUGAAGUGAUGAAUUUCGUUUAUGUAUGUAUGUGUUAUUUGAUGAUCUUCCUUGAGUAUUUGGGUUGUUCAUUGAGGUCAAAGUCUCCCUGCAUUAACUUUAGAGAUAGUUGGAUCAAUAUUUUCUUUGUGGCUUGUUACUGGCUUUGGAUUUAGAGGAAUGAUAGAAUCCGUGAAACCAAUUAUCAAGAGCAGUGGUUACAUCAUAUGUGCAUAAUAGAGAAAACUAAUCAAAUUAGGGAGUCUUUUAAAAAGAAUCAAAUUAAUGGUGAUCUCAACAGGAUUGCGAAACCAGACACUGGUUGGUUCAAGGUGAAUGUGGAUGGUGCUGGUGCGUCUAAAGGUAACCCAAGUCAAGCUGGUUAUAUGGGGUAUCAUUCGUGAUGAAAGUGGUCAGUGGUUUUAGUGCUCAUAUCGGUAAACCAUACAAAGUACGUUCAAAUGGUAGUAUUGGAAUAAGAGGAAAUGGCUCUUCUCCCAUCUAAUUUUGCUCAUUCCCGUCAAAAUAGCCGAGCGUGAGUUAACCCACACAGGUGUAUUGUCAGCGUGAGUUAACUCACGCAGAUGUAUCUCUCAGCAGGGAUGAGCAAAACCAGAUGGGAGAAGAGCAAUUCUCCAGAUUAAGCAUGCAUAGUUCAGUGGUGAAGUCACACUAAAUGAAUACAGAUCAAGACCAAAGCAAUGCAAUACAUUAUAAUACAAUACAAGAAUAAAAAUUAGAGAUUAAAGUAGUUGUCCUUCAUACUUGAAUACAUAUUUGCUCCCUGAUGACUAAGAACACAAUUCAGUUUAGGGCAAUGGAAAUGUCAAAGAUAAAUACAAAUUAUCUAGUUUUGUGAUCUCAUACUUGUUGUGUUAUUCGAUACAAAUUUUAGUACAUGUACAUGAUGCUUUUAGGAAAUUAAUUUCUACACUAACGGUGUAAAACUAUUUUACAUGACUAUUCAAUCAAAUCAUGUCAAAUAUAUAUUUUAUAAACUAACAUAUAAAAGUGGCAUCACAAAAAUGUUUGAUCGGAUGUAUAUAUAAAAAUGUUUUACCAAUAUUAGCGUGAACAAAUACAAUUCUUGUUUUUUGAGGGUCAAAACGUACUGGAGUUUGAUACAAGUCUAUAUCUAUGAGACUAUGACUAAUCAAAAUGUUCUCACCAGUUAUCAAAAGCCAAGAAUAUCAUCAAAAGUGAAACUAGCACACCAUAGAACUACAAAACUGUUCUUCAAAAUAGCCCGCAAAACAAAUAUUCAAAUUAGCAUCCAUCCUUUACAAUACUAUCAAUCACCAAGGUUUUAUCAAUACAAUUCAUGCAGCGAGACUUCGAUCUCACUGAACAACCCAAAAACUCAAGGUAGAUCAUCAAAUAACACAUGCAUAUGAUACAUAAACAAAAUUCGGCACUCUAAAUAUUGUUAGGCCUGAACUACCAUUCGUUACACAGCUUUCCCAGCUGCUUUGUAGCAUUGCUUCAAGAGCGACAUGAAUAAUAUCCGACAAAGGGACCAUUCUCUAUGACCCCCAACAUAAUGGAUCACUUGAUAUCUUCUAAUAAAAUUUACCAAAUAUGUGUGUCCAUACUUGCAUUGCAUCUGAACUCUGAAGGACUAUAACAACCAGGUUCCUGUAGAUCAAAUAGGGCCUGUAAGAAGCAAGAAGUCAAAUGAAUCUUGUAGAGAAUUAUGUUACCUACAUGUACACGACUCUCACAAAUGUACCAGAAGCUACAUUUUAACACAAGUCUCAUAAGUAAAAUUCAAGUGGGAGCAGGCAACUUGAACUCAGACUAAGCACCAGUAAAGUGGCGCAAUUUGUGAGUAACAGAGUUGUAUAGAUAACAAUAUACGCAAAAAAUCGUAUGAUCAACAAUAUAUCGUAGAAUAUUAUAAGUUAGUUUGUAUAAUUAUUUCAACAAGCAAUUAGUAAAAAAGAAAAACAAAAUGAGAUAAUCGUACUAAUGAUUGAAAUUUUUAUAUAACUUCACCAAAAAAUUAAAAUGAAUAUAUGUGCCUUAAAUAUUUCAUAAGUUCCCUUCAUUAGUCCGUCCAUGAAUAUCAAUAAAUGUACUGGUCUUUUUUUUGUUAGUCGGAAUUAUGGAAAAACUAUUACUUAUCUCAGUUGAGAAGUUCCUGUAAACUAGAUAAAUCAAAAUGGUCUUCUAUGGGACUCAGGAUCCCCAAAGGUUUUUAUUACAUGUUAGCAGCUAAGAAUUACCUCAGAAUGUGAACCUCCUAUAACCUAAAGUUAAUUCAAAUAGGUACUACAAGUACAAGUGACUAAUUAAGUGACGCAAAGAGACACACUUUCAGAGUAUCAGCAAGCAAUAUAAUCCUUACUAUAGAGCAUUCACUUAAGUAGAAACUACACACGAUCAUGUUAUUAUAUAUGAACAAUUUCUUUAUUUAGCCAAGAGACUUGUAAUUUAUGCUUUAAUAAUUAGUUAUAACCAAAGAGAUCUCGAAAACAGAAACAUAAAACAACAGGAAAAAAAAUAAAAAAUAAAACAAACCAAUUAUAAAUGUCUUGGUCUAACAGGUUUUCUUGUGCAAUCUACGAAGUCAACUUCUGCCGAGGGCGAAUUUUGACGCAAGAAGUCCACUAUCCCAUCAGGUACUGUUGGAGACGGUUCCGAUCCUGAUGCAUAUGCUUUUUUUAUCCUGGCAGCUUCUUUCUUUGACUUCACUGUCUUUAACUUGAACUCGCAUAGUGUCAAGCGAACUCCAUACAAAAUUUCAUCAAUUUCCACUUUCAGUGACUUC